UCCCUGGUGGCUCAGAUGGUGAAGCAUCUGUCUACAAUGCAGGAGACCCAGGUUCAAUCCCUGGGUUGGGAA
rnacentral:tRNA from 1 species